CUUGAACUCUUGACCUCAGAUGAUCUGCCUGCCUCAGCCUCCCAAAGUGCUGGGAUUACAGGCGUGAGCCAUGACGCCCGGCCAGAUUCCUAAACUAUAAUUUCAAAGGGCCACAAAACAUUUUUUUUUGAGACAGGGCCUUGCCCUGUCACUCAGGCUGGACAUGGGUAAGAAAAUCGCAACGCUAGAAAAACUAACAAAUCUAGGUUUUCUAACACAUACACAAAUA